rnacentral:lncRNA from 1 species
UCCUUUUUCAUUAUUGUUCCAUAGUUUUACAAAAUCAUAUUUUUUUAUUUAAAAUGUGUAUUUAGGACUAGGGAGACGGUUCUGUUGGCAUAGCACCACUUACAUUGCAAAUUUGAGGACACAAGUUCAAUCCCCAGAACCCAUGUGGAAAGCCAGUGUGUUAGCACUUACUAAUAACACAAGCCUUGGAGAGGUGACUGACAGACAGGCAGAUCCCUAGAAACUCUCUGGCCAGCUAGGCUAGCCUUCUUGGCAAAGUUCCAGGCCAGUGAGAGACCCUGUCCCAACAAAAAGUAAGUGUUCUUUUUAGACACUAAGUUGUUCUCUUACCUCACACUCACACAUAAUUAGGUGUACAAUCCGAACCUGCAUAGUCUAUUAAACCUGGUUGGCUUCCAUUCAAAAAAAAUAAUAAAAUUGUUUGGAAAUUAAAAGAGCCCAGAAUAGCUUUUUUUUUUUCCUUAAAAAAAAAAAAAAAAAAAAAAAAAGAAUGGAGUUAACACUGUUUUUGGCAUUCAACUAGACAUAAUAGUCAGUGGACCAGUAUUUGGGAGUUAGAAAAAAGAUUUCAUAUUUAUGACUAAUAUUUCACUUUUCAGAAAGUGUACUCAGACAAUUCAGUGGUGGGCAAGAAUUAUAGUGUUGUCACCAAAUGACCCUUGGUUAGUUGACUAUCCAAAUGCAGAAAAUGAAAUUGGUUCCUAGCUUUACAUUUGCAAAAACCAAAAGUGAAUUAAACCUAAAUUAAGGGAGAUAAAAUUUAAAAGUC